rnacentral:rRNA from 1 species
UAGGGAAUCUUCGGCAAUGGGGGGAACCCUGACCGAGCAACGCCGCGUGAGUGAAGAAGGUUUUCGGAUCGUAAAGCUCUGUUGUUAAGGAAGAACGAGUGUGAGAAUGGAAAGUUCAUGCUGUGACGGUACUUAACCAGAAAGGGACGGCUAACUACGUGCCAGCAGCCGCGGUAAUACGUAGGUCCCGAGCGUUGUCCGGAAUUAUUGGGCGUAACGCGCGCGCAGGUGGUUUAGAAAGUCUGAUGUGAAAGCCCACGGCUCAACCGUGGAGGGUCAUUGGAAACUAAUAAACUUGAGUGCAGGAGAGAAAAGUGGAAUUCCUAGUGUAGCGGUGAAAUGCGUAGAGAUUAGGAGGAACACCGGUGGCGAAAGCGGCUUUUUGGCCUGCAACUGACACUGAGGCGCGAAAGCGUGGGGAGCAAACAGG